ensembl:lncRNA
AUGUCGGAAAUCAUCUUGGAAAACAAACCUAAGCUCAUCAAAUGGCUUAGUUUGGAUUAUAAAUUUGUUUUGCAACAUGUUCAAGCUAAAAAACUUAUAACACACUCGCACUAUGAUGACUUGAUGGCCAUGAAGGCGAGCGACAGUAUCAUCAAACUUCUGGACAUCAUCCGUAGAAGAGGAGAAAAUGUGUGUCGAGAUUUUCUGGAUUUGCUAAAAGAUGAUGAUGUGAAUGAAAUAUCGCCGGAGCUAAGAGACUGGGUCAAAACAGUUGACUCAGAAGAAACUGCCAACAUGACAGGACAAUCACGCAUCCAAGUAAACAGCCAAAUCUCUGCAUCAGAUGGCAGCAGUGUAAUUUCGCCUACCAUAAUUGGUGGAAAUCUAGGGUCCUUUAUAAUGAAUACGACGGUUGCACCCUCUGGCAGAUCAGAUGUGCAGACAAAUUGUAAGUGUAAUAAAUGUACAUUGCCUAAAACAAACAAACAAAGAAACAAUAAAUAAAUAUAUUAAUUAAUUAAAUAAUGAAAAAAGGUCUAUGAACAACAUUGCCUGAAAAAAAACAUACAGUUAAAAAAACCUGUACAUUUUAUGUUUGGUUAUUAAAAUAUCAAUAAUCAAAGACCAUCCAAAUGGGCUUUCUCAUCUGUUAAUCCAAUUAAUCAAGUAAAAUACUUUAUCAGCAUUGCAAAAGGUACAAUCUAAUUUAGAAUGGCAACUCUCAUAUAUAUGUCACAUUUUAAUGUAUAUAAAUAAUACAUAAAGCCACUGAAGGCACAUUGUACACUGUAUAAGAUAACUUGUUGUAGUGCAUUGAUUUAAUCAAGAUCUAAAAUCUGGCCUUGUAUAGCCCUGUUAUCACUUUCUCUUCCUUUGUAUUUUCAAUAAUCUUUUUCCCCAAAUAUUUCAGACCAAGAAACCUGAUAGAGACUGUGAACACAGGCCAGUACAAGGUAUAGAGGAAGUUUAUUUCUUUCUAUUCUGUAUACAUAUUUUUCUUUCCAAUAUUUUAUGAUUUAUUUUUUCUUUUUGUAUUCCCAGAUUAUCAGAAGUUUCUAAAAUAAAACACCAGUCUGCUGGUUCAACAAGUGAAGAACAUUGAUCCAAUUAUUGAUGAUCUCGACCUACAUGAUGAAUCCGUUGCAGUUGUGAGAGUGAAGCCAACAGAUCAAGAGAAGAUGAGGAAACUGCUUACCGAACUGCUGAACAGCUACUGAGUGUUGUAUUGUUUACCCACCAGAUUAGCAGCAUGUUAUUAAAGGAAAUGGAAUAUUGUACUGUCAAUGCCAACAAUAAAUUUUUUAAUGUUUUGAUAGUAAAAGUGAUAGUUCUUGGAGUUUUCCUUUUUUAUAUAAAUUGAGAACCAAGUAUAUUGUACAAACAGGCCUACAUGUAACCAAACAUGUCAGGGAUAUAUAUAUAUAUAUAUAUGUAUAUAUAUAUGUGUGUGUGUGUGUGUGUGUGUGUGUGCAUUUUACAUAUUAACCUUUUGUAUAGGUUGCACUGCUUUAAAGUUUUUUUUUAUUGUUUCUAAAUAUAAAUAUUUUAAUGUUGAUUUUAAAUCGUUUAAACAGUGGCAGUUGUUAAUUACAUUUUAUCAAUAUAACGGCUUGCUAUGAAGCACACUUGGAUUUUGGAUGGCAUUUUACAUCGAUCUAUCUAAAAUUCUAUUAACUUAAAAAGCACAUUUCUACUAGUCUAUUUGCAUAGUUUUACUACUGGCGAAAUUAGCUCUCAGAGUCAUGACAGACCCACCCCCCCAAACCUCCCACCGGUUUCACGUACAGCCGUUUACACCCAUGUCAAACACAAACACAACUGGAGGUGCAGUAGAAGAACUCAGUCACUAGGUGGGGAUGGUGGUUCAGUACAACGAGUGAAGAGACGGAAGAAGGGGCUUGAACCGUGUCUAAAAGCACCUGUUGGCACAGGUAAAAAUAAAUACAAAUAUAAUAUGAAUUGUAAUUCAUUGCUCAAUCUAUAGAGAUUUAUUACACUCAGGUGGGUAAGUUACAGUUAUAUUUAUGGUCACAGCACCUAGCAGAUUCUGUUUGGGGAUGCAUUCAUGCUGCUUGGUGGUUUGAGGUUUGUUUUUGUAAACCGUUUGUAAGGAUUGCUUCAUUCUCAUCUAUUAGACUGUGGGGAAUUGUGGGAAAUUGUAAGCGCUCAGAAGGGCACACAGAGAACCUUGUCAGGCAUUACUGCACUAGAGAUUACAUAAAAAGUAACAUUUUUAAUGUGGUUGCAGCAAUCAGAGCUAGAGAACCAGGCUUUAGGUCUGUGUCUUUACUGUGCUCUAACAUUACUAUUUUGUAUUUUGAUGACAUUUUAGUUUACAUUUUAUUGUAAAUAAAUUUGCUUCAUGUAUGUUGAAUAUUUAUUUAUUUAUAACAAAUCUGAUGUCAAACAUCUGUGGAAC